AAAAUUUGUUAAAAAAAAAAAAAAAAAAGCAGAUGUCAGACACUGCUAGAAAGACAUCUGCAGAUGAAUGAGAGAAAUCCCAUAUUUUUAGAGAGAGAAGACUUAAGAGACAUAUAAAGAGAGGUGCAGUCUACUUCUUAAGUUUGUGUUGAUCCUCAGUUCAUUUAGGCAUUUAGAUCAGUUGAACAGUAGUUCUCAAAACUUGUAUAAGAAAGAGAUAAGAGUCUGCAAAGACAAGCAUAAUUUACCAGUACAUACCUCAUACAUCAACAGUGUUUAAGCAAGCAUGAGUAUUGAUUAAAUAAAGACAAUGGAGGCAAAACGAGUAGAUGGUAAGUUUUUGGGGACAGUGCUAGAAAGAGAACAAGUUUAGCAAUUGAAGCAUAGAGUUUGUUAGAACACAUAGCAAAUUGAGAAAUUUUGUGACAUUCAGCUGAGUCCUAAUCAAAACGUUGUCAAGUCUGGUGAACUACAGUGCUGAAGAAGGGAUUGGAAGUUGAAUUAAGGAGAGUAAUAGAGGAUAUGACAAACUAUGCAAUAAAGAACGAAAUUGAUGAAAUAAGGAAGAAAAGGCAUAGCAUAUGUGUCAUUUGCUUUUACAAGAUACAUUAAAGAUGAAUGGAAAAAUUAGCGUGCAAUGUCACAAGCGAUAAACAGAUACCCCUAAAAAAAAGGAAAGAAAAUUUCAAAUGCAUGCUCAAGGAUCACAAAAUUUUGUGAUGCUAUUGGCAUGGGAAUACUCAUACACAACAAGUUGUUGAAUGCUACAAGAAUCAAAAAGUGAAAACUUCUGGGUUUAAGUUUGUGAAAUGAAUAUUGCCAUUCCAUUGAAGAAGAGAAAACAGAUAAGCUUCCUUUGUAAUAAAUAAUUUGCAAGAAAAGAUUUCAAUUAAAUUCUUACACAAUCAUACUUGAUUUCUAU
rnacentral:misc_RNA from 1 species